rnacentral:rRNA from 1 species
CGACGAGUUUGAUCCUGGCUCAGGAUGAACGCUAGCGGCAGGCUUAACACAUGCAAGUCGAGGGGUAUAGUUCUUCGGAGCUAGAGACCGGCGCACGGGUGCGUAACGCGUAUGCAAUCUACCUUCACAAAGGGAUAGCCCAGAGAAAUUUGGAUUAAUACCUUAUAGUAUAACGACUUCGCAUGGAGAUGUUAUUAAAGAUUUAUCGGUGAAAGAUGAGCAUGCGUCCCAUUAGCUAGUUGGUAAGGUAACGGCUUACCAAGGCUACGAUGGGUAGGGGUCCUGAGAGGGAGAUCCCCCACACUGGUACUGAGACACGGACCAGACUCCUACGGGAGGCAGCAGUGAGGAAUAUUGGUCAAUGGGGCGCAAGCCUGAACCAGCCCAUGCCGCGUGCAGGAUGACGGUCCUAUGGAUUGUAAACUGCUUUGUACAGGAGAACACUCCCUCGUGAGGGAGCUUGACGGUACUGUAAGAUAGGAUCGGCUAACU